rfam:Citrus sinensis cultivar Ridge Pineapple sweet orange scaffold00736_contig_5, whole genome shotgun sequence.
ACCCAUGGUGGGGGAAUUUUCUCAAUAAAUCCCUAAAUUAUUCUUAUGCUUCAUACAAAGUCUCCAUGUCAUGUUGAGUAAAAGUAGUGAUUUCACUCCUCAUUUU